rnacentral:rRNA from 1 species
AGCUCCAAUAGCGUAUAUUAAAGUUGUUGCAGUUAAAAAGCUCGUAGUCGGAUUUCGGGGCGGGGCGACCGGUCUGCCGAUGGGUAUGCACUGGUCGGCGCGUCCUUCCUUCCGGAGACCGUGCCUACUCUUAACUGAGCGGGGGCGGGAGACGGAUCGUUUACUUUGAAAAAAUCAGAGUGUUUCAAGCAGGCGUCUCGCCUUUGCAUGGAUUAGCAUGGGAUAAUGAAAUAGGACUUUGGUGCUAUUUUGUUGGUUUCGAACACCGAAGUAAUGAUUAACAGGGACAGUCAGGGGCACUCGUAUUCCGUCGAGAGAGGUGAAAUUCUCAGACCAAUGGAAGACGAACAACUGCGAAAGCAUUUGCCAGGGAUGUUUUCA